CAGGAAGCCAUGUGAGUACUAUGUAGUGUACAGAUCUCCCACAUGAUGCUGAGUGACCAAACUGUUGAAUACUGAGGACCUUCCUCACCAGCAGAUCUGAGUACCUAAGCUCUUCCUUGUCAGGCUGUCUGAUCAUGUGAUCCAUAGCUCCUGAGAACAGGGCUCAGAUAUAUUUUUAAUGGUUUUAAUCAAGGCACUUUCAAACUAAUUUCAGCUGGCAUAUGAAAAGUUUCUGUUCUUUCUUUCUUUCUUUCUUUUUGCUUUGUUUUGUUUUUGAGAGGGUUUCUCCGUAUAGACCUGGUUGUCCUGAAACUUGCUCUGUAGAGCAGGCUGGCCGUGAACUCACAGAGAUCUGCCUCCCGAGUGCUGGGAUUAAAGGCAUGCGCCACCACUGCCUCGAGUUUUUUAUUAUAUAUAUGCGAUCCCCUCAGACAUGAGAGGAUUAAAUAAAUCACAGGUAAUUAACAUUUUUAUGUUACUUAAGAUAUUGAUAAACAUGGAUGAAACCAAGGAAUGUUAACAUUUAGUCUAAGGUUUGAAGACAAUAAGCAGAAAAAUAGCUUCUAAUCUUUCAAAUCUGGGUCACUAGACAAACAAAUCUUUAACUUAGUAACAAUUCAAAACCUCUGGAAAAAAGAAAAAACACACUAGUGAAUGGGUAAAUAUUUUAAAUAAUGGAGUAUAAUCAAGUGUUUCUAAUACUCAUCUUAAAAUUAUUGCAAGCCAAGCCAGUCAGGAACGGUGGCGCACGCCUGUAAUCCCAGCACUCAGGAAGCAGAGGCAGGAGAAUUCUGACUUUGAGGCCAGCCUAGUUCACACAGAGUUCCACGACAGCCAGGGCUACACAGAGAAACCCUGUCUCAAAGAACAAAAACCCACAAAAGUUAUUAAUGUAUACAUUUCAGAGUGUGCUGUGGAAUACUAGCUGAAGAUGUGUUACAUUUGUUUAUGCUGUGGAACAUUUGUUUAAUGAUGCAAAGAUGUGUUGCAUUCUUUUAUGUUGCAUUUGUUUAACUCUGUGAAGCUGUGUUACUAUGCCUGUCUAAUACACCUGAUGGUCUAAUAAAGAGCUGAAUGGCCAAUAGCAAGGUGGGGCUGGCAGGCAGAGAGAAUAAAUAGGAGGAGAAAAAGAGAAGAGGGAGAGCCAGAUAAUGAGAAGGAGAAGAGGAUGCUGGGGGCCAGCCACACAGCCACACAGCAGACACAGAAUAAGAAGGAAAGAAAGGAUAUACAGAAAUAGUGAAAGCUAAAAGCCCUGAGGCAAAAGGUAGAUGGGAUAAUUUAAGAAAAGCUGGCUAGAAACAAGCCAAGCUAGGGCCAGGCAUUCAUAAGGAAGAAUAAGUCCCCGUGUAUUUAUUUGAGAGUUGGGUAGCAGGCCCCCAAAGAGCAAAGAGUUAAAAAAAAAAAAACAACCAACUACAAGAGUGUUUGGAUGUAAAAGUGGAGAUGGCUCAGUUAAUAAACCACUUGCCUUAUAAAUAUGAGGAGCUGAGCCUGAUUCCCAGCACCCACACAAAAAAGUGGAAGACUGGAGAAAAGGCCCAGUGGUUACAAGUGCUCGCCACAGAAUCACGAGGACCAGAGUCUGGAACCCAGCACCCGUGUAGCAAGCAAAAUCCCUGUAACUCCAACACCCUCUUCUAGGCGCCACAAAUGUGCAAACACUAAUGAUACAAAUAACUAAAACAACAAGUAAAUGAAAUAAAUAUUUUUAAGUGGGUGGACUGGCUAGUUUUAUGUCAACUUGACACAAGAUAGAGUCAUCAGAGAGGAGGGAACCUCAACUGAGGAAAUUCCUCCACAAGACCCAGCUGUAGGGCAUUUUAUUACUAGUCAUGAUCAAUGUGGGAGGGCCCAGCCCAUCAUGAUGAUGCCGUCCCUGGGUAGGUGUCCUGGGUUCUAUAAGAAAGCAGUGUGGCCGGGGCAGUGGUGGCGCAUGCAGAGGCAGGCAGCUCUCUGUGAGUUCGAGGCCAGCCUGGUCUACAAAGCGAGUUCCAGGACAGGCGCAAAGCUACACAGAGAAACCCUGUCUCGAAAAAAAGAAAAGAAAGAAAGAGAGAAAGCAGUGUGAGCAAGUCAUAAGGAACAAGCCAGUGAGCAGUGCUCCUCUAUAUCCUCUGCGUCAGCUCCUGCCUCCGGGUUCCUGCCCUGAUUGAGUUCCUGUCCUGACUUCCCUCAGCGAUGGACAGUGAUGUGGAAGUGGAAGCCUAAUAAGCCCUUCCCUCCCCAUUGCUUUUGGUCACGGUGUUUCAUAGCAGCAACAGUGACAUGUCUGACUGUAACCACAGCAGGCGAUGUAGACACAGGGGGAUCCCCUGCUGGGCAGACUGGUAAGCUCCAGAAGAAUGAAAAGACCUCCUCUCAAAGGAGGUGGAUGACAUCUGAAGUUGUCCUCUGUCCUCCCUACACACCUGCACAUGCAUGCACACACAUGGACAUGCACCUGCCAGCACGCAUAUAAUAUUAAACAGUGACAAGGUAGUAACCUUCAGUUCCUGGUGAUUUUUGUUUAGAACGCAUUGCUUUAACUAUUAAACUGGGCAUGGUGGCACAUGCCUUUAAUCCCAGCACUUGGGAGGCAGAGCCAGGUGGAUCGCUAUGGAGUUGGAGGCCAGCCUGGUCUCCAGAGUGAGAUCCAGGACAGGCACCAAAACUACACAGAGAAAACCUAUCUCGAAAAAACCAAAAACAAAAAAAAGAGGAAAAAAAGAAGAAAAGAAAAAACUAUUUGUGGACUUAAAUAAAUAAGGAAUGAUUGCUCAAAUCCGAGAAGUGGUAGAAUUCAUGACCUAAAUAUGAUUUCAAAAAAUAAGUUAAUCUCAUGUUGAAACCGACUUAAGAACUCCACAUGAGUGUAGAAAAGCCUGAGUUCCUCAGUCAGACUGUAUUGGCCAUGCUGCUAAUCAUGUUCAGCUCACCAGCGUCUCCAUGCGCCACUGAUCGUGAACUUCUUUCUCUGCAGGGCACAAUCUAGUCGAUUAAAUGUAGCUUUUCUCUUUGUUCUAGAAUUCAAUAGUAUUUCUACAACAUACUGGUUAAAUAUUAGAUUUUUUUUUAUUUAAUCAUACACUUUUUACAUUUCAAAAAGUGUUCACCUAAAAAGAAAACAGACCUUCACCCAAUACAAAAAAGCACCAGAUAUCUCAACUUCCUCUUUUCUUUUCAGGUCCAAACAAAGACGCUUACGUCUUCUUGAGGGACCCACAGCUGGGCAGACGGCUCAGUUGAUAGACCACAUGCUCGGGAAGGCCCCAGAAGACCCUCAGCUUUCACAUCUGGCAAGCAUCAACAUCUGUACAAGCAGGAAGUGGAAGCAAAGGAUGGACAUAAAGAGCCUGGGUAAGUGUUAAAGAGGACUCCCAGCAUAAUGCCAGUCUGGGACCACUGAGGGCUUUUUUCUUUUUCCUCGCUCCACCUCGUGUGUGUGUGUGUGUGUGUGUGUGUGUGUGUGUGUGUGUGUGUGUGUGUACGUAUGUGUGUAGCCCAUGCCUGGCCUUUCCUCUUUUUCUUAUUGGCGGCAUCUUGGUGGGUGAAUCUGUCAACACCCUCACUGGGCACUCAGCUAUGGGAACAGAUACUUCAGCAGCCACAUGUGACCAAAAAAGACUCCACAAAGAGAGUUUAGAAAAGACUCUAAAUGAGCAACUACUAAUCAUCACACAGGCAGCAGCAAACGGAAACUCCCAGGCAGGCGGAGAACCUGAUAUCAAGAGCUGCCCCAUAUGUAUGUGAAGUGUGCAGUUUUAAUUUCGAAAAAGCAAGGCCCACAAACAAAGAAGAAAGUCUGGUGAUCCACAGGGAAUAGAGACCUGACGGAAACUGUCUAUGAAGACGCUCAGGCAGCAGACUAAAGAACAUCUCUUGGGCUCUUUUCCUGGUUUGUCUUGUCCCAUUCCGAUAUGAUAGUUUUUGGUUUAUCUUAUUAUGUUUUAUUUUAUUAUUAUCCCUUAGAAGCCUGUUUGUUUUCUAAUGAGACAGAAAGGGAGUGGAUCCAGACAGGAGGGGAGAUGGGGAGGAACUGGGAGGAGUAGAGGGAGGGGAACCAUAACCAGGACAUGUGAGAAAAAAUUUAUUUUCAAUAAAAGGAAAAAAAAAAAUAUAUAUAUAUAUAUAUAUAUAUAAACAUGAAAAAAUGGACUUUUAUAUCAACUAGCGUAAAUUAUAGGCAAAGAACAAAAGGAAACUAGGCUAAUGAAGUCUCCACAAAUAAUGGCCAUCCAUUGAAAGACACGCUUUAAAGGGCCCUGCAUAAGAGUUCAGAACAGAAAAGCCCAGGGUUAAGAAUAAAACUCCACCAGACGGCUCAACAGUGGGUUGAAGCCAUCAGUGAAUUCAGUGGACAAAUAAAGUCAGAAGGCGGUGCGUUUAGGCCCCUAUGAGUCAGACACUCAAGGGCAGACACAAAUCGAGGGAAAGACAAGCAGGAAAAACAGCCCCAUAAGCGUGGCGGACAGAGUCUGGACAGAAAGGUCCCUGAGAGUUCAAUGGGAUCGUCUUUUACACAGCUAAACAGGUGCGUAAGAAAACUAGCUCUCAGCUGUAUCCACACAGUAUACAAGGAUCCUCUGAAAAAGGACGCAGAGUAAACCAAGGAGAAAGACACAGUCUGUAGAGAGGGAGAAGGGCGGAGAUUUUUUGUUGUUGUUGUUUUUGCUUUUCGAGACAGGGUUUCUUCGUGUAAUUUUGGCGCCUUUCCUGGAUCUCACUCUGUAGACCAGGCUGGCCUCAAACUCACAGAAAUCCGCCUGCCUCUGCCUCCCGAGUGCUGGGAUUAAAGGCGUGCGCCACCACCGCCCGGCAGGUGCUGAGAUUUUAAUAGACGCCAACUAUGAAAGAGAAAUAUCAGAAAGUAAUACUUCAUGGAAGUUGAAAACAUUUGCUCUUCCAAAGCAAACAGUUAGGAAAGAACCUCGCAGAACAUGGACGUCACAAGGGGACUGACUGGCACACACAGUAUUUUUAAACUCUUGGACCGGGUGGUGGUGGCACACGCCUUUAAUCCCAGCACUCAGAAGGGCAGAGGCAGGGGGAUCUUGGCGAGUUUCAGGACAGCCAGGGCUACACAGAGAAAUCCUGUCUCAAAAAACAAAACAAAACAACCCCCCCCCCAAAAAAAAAACCAUUUCACCAAAGGCACACUAUAGAUGGCAAACAAGCACACUAAAAGAUCUCAUCAGGGAGUUGGCUCACAACCAGCCAUAACUCCUGUUCCAGGGGACGUCAUGCCCUCUUCUGACCUUCCAGGACACCAAACAUGCACAGAGUGCCCAGACAUACAUGCAAACUGAACAUUCACAAAUCAAUCUAAAAAAAGAUCUCAUCAAUAACUCAGAAGUUAUAGAAAGAAGAGAAAAUAAUGUCACCUCCUUUGGAAAAACUUCCUCGUGAAAUGGUGUGUGUGUGCGUGUGAAUUUGUAAAAUUUAUUCUUUGUUCAAAAAGUUAUGUAUGUCCCAUCUUCAGAGAAUAUACACUUUUAAGUGAAGAGAGAAAAUUUUGCUAACAGUUUAUUUAAAACCUGGGAAACUUUUUCAAAUAAAAAUAAAAAAUUCAGAAGUUAUUUCAUAAAGCCAUAUGGUAUAGACAUCUUUUUAUAGUAGCAUUUUUGAAUUUUAGAGGGUGUUAUUCUGGAAAUGUGUAAUAAUCUGGAAAAAUGCUUUUGGACAGUUAUUUUUCCUAAAAGAGUCAAAACCAUUUAUUGGGCUAAAGUGAGGCAUUUUAAUCUGUAUAAAUUGUUUUGACUUCUGCCAAAAGAAAAGUUUAGUAUUUUCUUUAUAUAUGUGUUUAUCUGGACUGCCAGUAAAACAAAUGUGUAUUCAAUACAAGACAAAAUAAAACAGCACAUUCUAUAAACACACAGACAAAAGAUGACUGGCCUCAUUAUUAGAGAAAUACAAAUUAAAAUCAUGUGAGACAUACUACCUUCCCCUGGAAUGGCUAAAAGCAGUAUGUUGGGGAAUAUUAUUGUAAGGUGUGUUACUUUUGUUUAUGUUGCAUUUCUUUAACUCUGUGAAGCUGUGUUACUGCGCCUGUCUAAAACACCUGAUGGUCUAAUAAAGAACUGAAUGGCCAAUAGCAAGGCAGGAGAAAGAAUAGGCAGGCUGGCUGGCAGGCAGAGAGAAUAAACAGGAGAAUUCUGGGCAGAAAGAAGAAGGAAUAAGAGAUGAAGGAGGAGGACUCCAGGGGCCUGCCACCCAGCCACCCAGCUACACAGCCAGACACGGAGUAAGAAACAAAGAAAGGUAUACAGGAACAGAGAAAGAUAAAAGUCCAGAGGCAAACGAUAGAUGGGAUAAUUUAAGUAAAAUUGGCUAGCACCAAGCCAAGCUAAGGUCGGGCACUCAUAAUUAAGAAUAAGCCUCCAUGUGUGAUUUAUUUGGGAGCUGGUGGCGGGACCCUCAAAAGAACAAAAGCAAACAACAAUGGCAGUAGAAGAAGAAUGCCAGGCCUAAUAGUCUGGAGAAGGAGUCGGGGGUAGUUCCUCUUCGUUUCAUGAGGCUACAAGAACCUUGAUACCAAAUACUGACAGAAGUGUAACUAAGGAAAAAAAAAAACCAUUUACGUCAAUUUCCCUCAUGAAGACAA